CCUGGACAUAACCAAACCGAGUAUUAAACUUCUAGCAUAUGAAACUCUGGGAGACAGAUUACAUACAAAUCCUAUCACAAUGUGACUUACUUCAGAAGAAUGUUGCAUUCUUGGUGGAGUCUGCCUGAAAAUUACAAGCAAAAUGAGGAAGAUAAUUGGGUUGGCCAAGGCCAUCUGGGAAUCUGUCUUAUUGAAAGUGUAAAAUAGAUACACAUUAAAUGAGAUCCUUCAAUAACACCACA